GGGCGUAAGCGCGCGUAGGCGGCCCGGAAAGUCGGUUGUGAAACCCCAGGGCUCAACCCUGGGACUGCGUCCGAAACUUCCGGGCUGGAGGCAGGUAGGGGAGAUCGGAAUUCCUGGUGUAGCGGUGAAAUGCGCAGAUAUCAGGAGGAACACCGGUGGCGAAGGCGGAUCUCUGGGCCUUGCCUGACGCUGAGGCGCGAAAGCUAGGGGAGCGAACAGGAUUAGAUACCCUGGUAGUCCUAGCCGUAAACGUUGGGUGCUAGGUGUGGGCGGAUAUCGACCCCGUCCGUGCCGAAGCUAACGCAUUAAGCACCCCGCCUGGGGAGUACGGCCGCAAGGCUAAAACUCAAAGGAAUUGACGGGGGCCCGCACAAGCGGCGGAGCAUGCGGCUUAAUUCGAUGCGACGCGAAGAACCUUACCUGGGCUUGACAUGCAGGGUGAAGCCGGUGAAAGCCGGCGCUCUACGGAGCCUGCACAGGUGGUGCAUGGCUGUCGUCAGCUCGUGCCGUGAGGUGUUGCCUUAAGUGGCGCAACGAGCGCAACCCUUGUCCUCAGUUGCCAGCGGGUAAAGCCGGGAACUCUGGGGAGACUGCCGGUGCCAAACCGGAGGAAGGUGGGGAUGAGGUCAAGUCAUCAUGCCCCUUAUGUCCAGGGCUGCACGCAUGCUACAAUGCGCGGUACAAAGGGCUGCGAUCCCGCAAGGGGGAGCGAAUCCCAAAAAGCCGCGCUCAGUUCGGAUCGGGGUCUGCAACCCGACCUCGUGAAGUCGGAGUCGCUAGUAAUCGCAGAUCAGCAAUGCU
rnacentral:rRNA from 1 species